rnacentral:rRNA from 1 species
GUGGGGAAUUUUGGACAAUGGGGGCAACCCUGAUCCAGCAAUGCCGCGUGCAGGAAGAAGGCCUUCGGGUUGUAAACUGCUUUUGUACGGAACGAAACGGUCCUGGUUAAUACCUGGGGCUAAUGACGGUACCGUAAGAAUAAGCACCGGCUAACUACGUGCCAGCAGCCGCGGUAAUACGUAGGGUGCAAGCGUUAAUCGGAAUUACUGGGCGUAAAGCGUGCGCAGGCGGUUUUGUAAGACAGGCGUGAAAUCCCCGGGCUCAACCUGGGAAUGGCGCUUGUGACUGCAGUGCUGGAGUGCGGCAGAGGGGGAUGGAAUUCCGCGUGUAGCAGUGAAAUGCGUAGAUAUGCGGAGGAACACCGAUGGCGAAGGCAAUCCCCUGGGCCUGCACUGACGCUCAUGCACGAAAGCGUGGGGAGCAAACAGGAUUAGAAACCCGGGUAGUCC